rnacentral:sRNA from 1 species
AUUUUGCGUUAGGGAUUGCAGCGGCAUCCUUUUUUAUGUUGAAUACCACGCGUUUUAAAGGUUGAAUAACUUUAAAUUUAGCUAUUUGAUUGAAUGGGUCAUAGCUCUAUAAAAAAGAUAUAGCGGAAAGCCCGACCCUCG